rnacentral:rRNA from 1 species
GGUAGACUGCCCAAGAGAUCGGGAUAACACCUGGAAACAGAUGCUAAUACCGGAUAACAACAGAUGAUGCCUAUCAACUGUUUAAAAGAUGGUUCUGCUAUCACUCUUGGAUGGACCUGCGGUGCAUUAGCUAGUUGGUAGGGUAACGGCCUACCAAGGCGAUGAUGCAUAGCCGAGUUGAGAGACUGAUCGGCCACAUUGGGACUGAGACACGGCCCAAACUCCUACGGGAGGCAGCAGUU